rnacentral:tRNA from 102 species
AGCGGGUAUAGUUUAGUGGUAAA